rnacentral:rRNA from 1 species
GUAGUCCACGCCCUAAACGAUGUCAACUAAGUGUGUGGGAGUUUAACUCCUGCGUAUUGAAGCUAACGCGAUAAGUUGACCGCCUGGGGAGUACGGUCGCAAGACUAAAACUCAAAUGAAUUGACGGGGGCCCGCACAAGCGGUGGAGCAUGUGGUUUAAUUCGACGCAACGCGAAAACCUUACCUGGUCUUGACAUCCUGUGAACUUUCUAGAGAUAGAUUGGUGCCUUCGGGAACACAGUGACAGGUGCUGCAUGGCUGUCGUCAGCUCCGUGUCCGUGAGAUGUUGGGUUAAGUCCCGUAACG